GGUGAACGCUGGCGGCGUGCCUAACACAUGCAAGUCGAUCGGAGCAGCAAUGCUUAGAGGCGAACGGGUGAGGAAAACGUAGUAACCAACCCUUUAGACUGGGAUAGCCACUGGAAACGGUGGGUAAUACCGGAUAAGCUCGAGAGAGGAAAGGCAGAGAAGCGCUAAAGGACGAACUGCGCCCAUCAGAUAGUUGGUGAGGUAAAGGCUUACCAAGUCAAAGACGGGAAACCGACGUGAGAGCGUGUACGGUCACAAGGGCACUGAGAGACGGGCCCUACUCCUACGGGGAGGCAGCAGUGGGGAAUAUUGGACAAUGGACGAAAGUCUGAUCCAGCGACGCCGCGUGGAGGAAGAAGUCCUUCGGGAUGUAAACUCAUGAAGCUAACGAAUAAGACGGAAGGGGAACCUUCCGGGAGAAGGUAAUUAGUGAAAAGCCCCGGCUAACUACGUG
rnacentral:rRNA from 1 species